GCUGCUUGAGGUAACUGCCGUGUCAACGACUCAAUAGACAAAAGCACACAGUUUCGUCCGUUGUAAUCUUAGCGGCCGUCUCGGAGCAUGCGGCGGUCGCUGUAAGGCCAGCGGAACAACAAACGCUGCCAUUUUUACGCUAGACUGUUGUUUGUCGCUCAAGCUAAAGCCAAAUAAUUUAGGCGUGGGCUCACAAUUAUCUUAUUUUAAAUGAAACGCUAGGUGCUAUUGUCGCCCCAUGCACAGUAGUUAUCGAGGCAGGUGUUGUUGCCACAUUGACGACGUCUUUAGUAAUCUGAGUGCU
rfam:Drosophila grimshawi strain TSC#15287-2541.00 scaffold_15126 genomic scaffold, whole genome shotgun sequence.